CAUGUCUGUGCUCCCUCCACCCAUAAGCUAGCAGCUGGCCAAUCAUCACUGCGACCAGCCACCAUUGCUGCAUGCUGUUGGCCAAUCACCUGCAAGUAUACGAGCAGCAUCCUCACUGCCGACCCAAUCAGCGGGAAUCCAGUAGUAGGAUUUUCUUUUCUUUUCUUUUUCUUUUUCCAAUGAUUGUAAGUCCUAUGAGUAUGACUAGGAAAAAGGGCGAAUGCGAGCAGAAGAAUGUUCUUAUACCCAUGUAAACAAGAAAGCAGAUGCAGAACCUUACCUCAAAUUGCUUCCUCACCUUACCAGCCACAUUGUUGUUCUUUAACAUUGCCAGAUAACCAUUGAGAAGAGGCAACUAGGGACCUCCCCAACUUUUCCAUGCCUUAAAAUCUAGUUCUCAGGAUGC
rnacentral:lncRNA from 1 species